UUUGAUCCUCGGCUCAGGAUGAACGCUAGCGGCAGGCUUAAUACAUGCAAGUCGAGGGGCAGCAGCUUUAUAGCAAUAUAGAGGCUGGCGACCGGCAAACGGGUGCGGAACACGUACACAACCUUCCUUUAAGUGGGGGAUAGCCCAUAGAAAUGUGGAUUAAUACCCCGUAAUAUUAUUGAAGUGGCAUCACUUUAUAAUUAUAGUUUCGACGCUUGAAGAUGGGUGUGCGGCUGAUUAGGUAGUUGGCGGGGUAAAGGCCCACCAAGCCUUCGAUCAGUAGCUGAUGUGAGAGCAUGAUCAGCCACACGGGCACUGAGACACGGGCCCGACUCCUACGGGAGGCAGCAGUAAGGAAUAUUGGUCAAUGGACGCAAGUCUGAACCAGCCAUGCCGCGUGAAGGAUGAAGGUCCUCUGGAUUGUAAACUUCUUUUAUAGGGGGCGAAAAAGGGAAUUCUUUCUCACUUGACAGUACCCUAUGAAUAAGCACCGGCUAACUCCGUGCCAGCAGCCGCGGU
rnacentral:rRNA from 1 species